rnacentral:rRNA from 1 species
UCGAGAAUUUUUCUCAAUGGGGGAAACCCUGAAGGAGCGACGCCGCGUGGAGGAUGAAGGUCUUCGGGUUGUAAACUCCUGUCAUUUGGGAACAAGUGCCGAUAAUUAACUACUGUCGGCUUGAUAGUACCAGAAGAGGAAGAGACGGCUAACUCUGUGCCAGCAGCCGCGGUAAUACAGAGGUCUCAAGCGUUGUUCGGAUUCAUUGGGCGUAAAGGGUGCGUAGGUGGCGCCGUAAGUCAGGUGUGAAAUUUCGGAGCUUAACUCCGAAACUGCAUUUGAUACUGCGGUGCUUGAGGACUGGAGAGGAGACUGGAAUUUACGGUGUAGCAGUGAAAUGCGUAGAGAUCGUAAGGAAGACCAGUGGCGAAGGCGGGUCUCUGGACAGUUCCUGACACUGAGGCACGAAGGCCAGGGGAGCAAACG